CUGGACUUAAGCAUAUCACUAAGCGGAGGAAAAGAAACUAACUAGGAUUCCCCCAGUAACUGCGAGUGAAGAGGGAAGAGCUCAUCAUUGGAAUCUGGCAGUGUUACACUGUCCGAGUUGUAGAUGAGGAGUAGUCCGUCUGGACUGCAUGGCGUCCAAGUACAAUAGGCCGUCAGUGGGACAUCAUAGAGGGUGACAAUCCCGUCCUUGACGCCAAUGUGCAAGUCUAUUACGAUGGCUAUCUCAGAGAGUCGAGCAGUUUGGGAUUUGCUGCUUAAACAUGGGAGGUAGAUUCCUUCUAAAGCUAAAUACAGGCGAGAGACCGAUAGAGAACAAGUACCGCAAGGGAAAGAUGAAAUAGCACUCUGUGAAGGGAGUCAAAAGGCGUGAAAUUGUUGCGAGAGAAGCGAUUCAAGUCAGCGUAGCUAGGCCCAUCAAGCGUCUUCGCUUUGGACUAGCUUUGCCAGCGGUCUUGUCCCUUAAAGAGACUUGACUUGUAAUAUGUCCAGCCUGGCGUGCACAGGCAGCCCCUUCUGGGGGCCAGUGGCAUGGCUGGUGGAAUGGCUUGCAAUCGACCCGUCUUGAAACACGGACCAAGGAGUCUAACAUGUAUGCGAGUAUAAGGGUGGCAAACCCGUAUGCGCAAUGAAAGUGAUUUUCGGUGAUUGAGAAUGGCCUGAUGACCAGACAAGCAAUAUAUGUCCCUCGUACGGCCAUUGCCCAAGUUCCGUGGUAGAUCCCACGAACAUGGAGUUGGAGCAUACAUGCUAGGACCCGAAAGAUGGUGAACUAUGCCUGGACAAAGCGAAGCCAAAGGAAACUCUGGUGGAGGCUUGUAGCGAUUCUGACGUGCAAAUCGAUCGUCUGAUCUGGGUAUAGGGGCGAAAGACUAAUCGAA
rnacentral:rRNA from 1 species